rnacentral:rRNA from 1 species
UACGUAGGGUGCAGGCGUUAAUCGGAAUUACUGGGCGUAAAGCGUGCGCAGGCGGUUUCUUAAGUCAGAUGUGAAAGCCCCGGGCUUAACCUGGGAAUUGCGUUUGAAACUGGGAGACUUGAGUGUGGCAGAGGGGGGGUGGAAUUCCACGUGUAGCAGUGAAAUGCGUAGAUAUGUGGAGGAACACCGAUGGCGAAGGCAGCCCCCUGGGCUAACACUGACGCCUCAUGCACGAAAGCGUGGGGAGCAAACAGG